CGUAAUGAGACUGCCAACGAUAAGUUGGAGGAAGUGGGGAUGACGUCAAAUCAUCAUGCCUUUAUGACCUGGGCUACAAACGUACUACAAUGGCCAAUACAAAGAGAUGCGAAGCGGUGACGUGGAGCGAACCUCAGAAAGUUGGUCUCAGUUCAGAUUGAAGUCUGCAACUCGACUUCAUGAAGGCGGAAUCGCUAGUAAUCGCGGGUCAGCAGACCGCGGUGAAUACGUUCCCGGGUUU
rnacentral:rRNA from 1 species